CCUACGGGUGGCAGCAGUGGGGAAUAUUGGACAAUGGGCGCAAGCCUGAUCCAGCCAUGCCGCGUGUGUGAAGAAGGCCUUCGGGUUGUAAAGCACUUUUGUCCGGAAAGAAAAGCAUUCGGUUAAUACCCGGGGGUUCUGACGGUACCGGAAGAAUAAGCACCGGCUAACUUCGUGCCAGCAGCCGCGGUAAUACGAAGGGUGCAAGCGUUACUCGGAAUUACUGGGCGUAAAGCGUGCGUAGGUGGUUUGUUAAGUCAGAUGUGAAAGCCCUGGGCUCAACCUGGGAACUGCAUUUGAUACUGGCAAGCUAGAGUGCGGUAGAGGAUAGCGGAAUUCCCGGUGUAGCAGUGAAAUGCGUAGAUAUCGGGAGGAACAUCUGUGGCGAAGGCGGCUACCUGGACCAGCACUGACACUGAGGCACGAAAGCGUGGGGAGCAAACAGGAUUAGAUACCCUGGUAGUCC
rnacentral:rRNA from 1 species